rnacentral:rRNA from 1 species
CAACGUAGAAAUACGUGGCAUACGGCUCAGUAACACGUAGUCAACAUGCCCAGGGGACGUGGAUAACCUCGGGAAACUGAGGAUAAACCGCGAUAGGCCAUGAUUUCUGGAAUGGUUCAUGGCCGAAAUCUAUAUGGCCCCUGGAUUGGACUGCGGCCGAUCAGGCUGUUGGUGAGGUAAUGGCCCACCAAACCUGUAACCGGUACGGGCUCUGAGAGGAGGAGCCCGGAGAUGGGCACUGAGACAAGGGCCCAGGCCCUAUGGGGCGCAGCAGGCGCGAAAUCUCUGCAAUAGGCGAAAGCUUGACAGGGUUACUCUGAGUGGUUCCCGUUAAGGGGAUCUUUUGGCACCUUUAAAAAUGGUGCAGAAUAAGGGGUGGGCAAGUCUGGUGUCAGCCGCCGCGGUAAUACCAGCACCCCGAGUG